CUGCCCAGUGAUCAGUGACAUGAUUUAACGGCCGCGGUACCCUAACCGUGCAAAGGUAGCAUAAUCAUUUGCUCUAUAAUUGAGGGCUUGUAUGAAUGGUUUGACAAGAACAAUACUGUCUCUUAAAAAUUCACUAAAAUUUGGUUUUUAGGUGAAGAAACCUAAAUAAAAUUGAAAGACAAGAAGACCCUAUCGAGCUUAAAAAAUACGUUAACUAUAUAGAAAAACUAAAAUUAACGAAAAAAUUUGGUUGGGGCGACUGAGGAACAAAUAAAGCUUCCUUUAAUAUAAAAAACUUAUAUGUGUUGAUCCAAAGUAUUUGAUUAAAAAAUUAGUUACCGUAGGGAUAACAGCAUAAUCUUUUUAGAGAGAACAUAUCGAAAAAAAGGUUUGUGACCUCGAUGUUGGACUAGGAUAUCCUAAUAGAUUGCAGAAGUCUUUAAAGG
rnacentral:rRNA from 1 species